GACAGAGCAAGACUCCAUGUCCGAAAAAAGAGAAAAAAAAAUACUACUUGUAAAUAGCAGAAAUAGAAAGGUGCUACUUAUGAGAAGUAACAUCCUAUUUGCGGCUUACACUUUUGUUGCAAAUUGUUAAAAGUGUCUGAAACUGUUUAGAAGGACAGCCUGAAACUGCUAAAGUGAUGCAAAGUAUAGACUCUGGUGGGAGAGGGGGCGUCUUAAAUUUUCACGUUUGCUUGGCCUCUGGGGGCCUCUUAACAGCACUUUAAAGGAAAUAAAUAGAUGAAGAAGAGAACAAAUUAUUUUGAAAUACAGUUAUUAAAAUACUGUAUUGAACCAAAUUGGUGAUAGUCCCAUUUAUUAGCUUAGUAACCGGAUUGAGCUGUGGCUCUGGUAAUUCAUUUGGGAGUAGUGACGAGAUUUUUUGUGACACUCUAAUGCUUUGGAAAAUACCUGUUGCUGUUCCUGCUAAAACUCCAGGGCUUAUUGUCUGCCUUUGUAAUUGAAGGAGUGCUACAUUUCAGCUAGAAGUUUUUGCCU
rnacentral:lncRNA from 1 species